rnacentral:tRNA from 1 species
ACAGUGGUAGUUCAGUGAUAGAAUUCCUGCCUUUCAUGCAGAAGGCUUGGGUUUGAUUCCUAGCCAGUGGA